AUGAACGCUAGCGACAGGCUUAACACAUGCAAGUCGAGGGGCAGCACAGGUAGCAAUACCGGGUGGCGACCGGCGCACGGGUGAGUAACGCGUAUGCAACUUGCCUAUCAGAGGGGGAUAACCCGGCGAAAGUCGGACUAAUACCGCAUGAAGCAGGGGCCCCGCAUGGGGAUAUUUGCUAAAGAUUCAUCGCUGAUAGAUAGGCAUGCGUUCCAUUAGGCAGUUGGCGGGGUAACGGCCCACCAAACCGACGAUGGAUAGGGGUUCUGAGAGGAAGGUCCCCCACAUUGGUACUGAGACACGGACCAAACUCCUACGGGAGGCAGCAGUGAGGAAUAUUGGUCAAUGGCCGAGAGGCUGAACCAGCCAAGUCGCGUGAGGGAUGAAGGUUCUAUGGAUCGUAAACCUCUUUUAUAAGGGAAUAAAGUGCGGGACGUGUCCCGUUUUGUAUGUACCUUAUGAAUAAGGAUCGGCUAACUCCGUGCCAGCAGCCGCGGUAAUACGGAGGAUCCGAGCGUUAUCCGGAUUUAUUGGGUUUAAAGGGUGCGUAGGCGGCCUUUUAAGUCAGCGGUGAAAGUCUGUGGCUCAACCAUAGAAUUGCCGUUGAAACUGGGGGGCUUGAGUAUGUUUGAGGCAGGCGGAAUGCGUGGUGUAGCGGUGAAAUGCAUAGAUAUCACGCAGAACCCCGAUUGCGAAGGCAGCCUGCCAAGCCAUUACUGACGCUGAUGCACGAAAGCGUGGGGAUCAAACAGGAUUAGAUACCCUGGUAGUCCACGCAGUAAACGAUGAUCACUAGCUGUUUGCGAUACACUGUAAGCGGCACAGCGAAAGCGUUAAGUGAUCCACCUGGGGAGUACGCCGGCAACGGUGAAACUCAAAGGAAUUGACGGGGGCCCGCACAAGCGGAGGAACAUGUGGUUUAAUUCGAUGAUACGCGAGGAACCUUACCCGGGUUUGAACGCAUUCGGACCGAGGUGGAAACACCUUUUCUAGCAAUAGCCGUUUGCGAGGUGCUGCAUGGUUGUCGUCAGCUCGUGCCGUGAGGUGUCGGCUUAAGUGCCAUAACGAGCGCAACCCUUGCCACUAGUUACUAACAGGUAAAGCUGAGGACUCUGGUGGGACUGCCAGCGUAAGCUGCGAGGAAGGCGGGGAUGACGUCAAAUCAGCACGGCCCUUACAUCCGGGGCGACACACGUGUUACAAUGGCGUGGACAAAGGGAGGCCACCUGGCGACAGGGAGCGAAUCCCCAAACCACGUCUCAGUUCGGAUCGGAGUCUGCAACCCGACUCCGUGAAGCUGGAUUCGCUAGUAAUCGCGCAUCAGCCACGGCGCGGUGAAUACGUUCCCGGGCCUUGUACACACCGCCCGUCAAGCCAUGGGAGCCGGGGGUACCUGAAGUCCGUAACCGAAAGGAUCGGCCUAGGGUAAAACUGGUGACUGGGGCU
rnacentral:rRNA from 1 species